AGGCCUGCGCUGGGCAGAAACACAGGAAGCAGCGCUGAGCGCUGGGCAGCAUUGUCAGCCCGUAAAAAACAAAACAGGACAAAAAGAUUUAAUGAGAACAAUUAGCCCAAAGAAAGAGGAAAAAAAAAAAAGGCCAAAAAAACAAACAAAGCCAAACAGCCUGAAGACAGGGGCUGGCGGGUCUCCAAGGACCCCAUGUUUUCCCUCCCACACAAUUAUCUUCAGCAUCCUCGGCAUCUUCCUUUCCAACUCCCUUCAGUGAGCUGGUACAGCGCAGGAGGUGCAGAUGUUUGCGGAAUGAGUUAAUGCAUACAUUGACUUCCUUGGAGGCCAGUGGCAGUUCAUUGUUAACUAACUAGCACCAGAGGCUGCCUGCAGAAGCUGUGGCCCAGAUUGAAGGUGGAUCUUCCCAUCUCAAAAGCCAGAUUGAAUAGUAGGCUAUGGCUCUGGGAAAGCACCAUAGAAGCCUUGACCUCUGCUCAGGAGUUGGAAAACAAUCAACCCUGUGAGUGAUCUGACCGCUGGAGACGAGAAUCCCUUCAAAGGAGCGGAGGAAUGAAGAUUAUUGGGAACACCAAGUAACUUAUCAGAAGCAGCGGGACAGUAGACACAAAGGAAAGGCUGCCUGAGGAGCCAGCCACAGCACCUGAGAGAGACACUUCCCUUCUGAAGGCAGCACAUCGAGUCUCCACAUUGCAGGAAGCCAUAAAGCCAGGCAUUGGAAACUGAUGACCACGGGCCAGAGAGCUGGCUCAGCGGUUAAGAGCACUGUUGCUCUUGCAGAGGACCAAGGUUUGGUUCCCAGCACCCACACGACAGUUUGCAGUACCUGUAAGUCCAGUUCUAGGGACUCUGAUGCCCUCUUCUGACUUCUGAAGACACUGCAGGCACGAGGUGUACUUACAUCAUGUGGGCUCACACACUCAUACAGAUAAAAAUUUUAAAAAUCA